rnacentral:rRNA from 1 species
ACGUAGGGGGCGAGCGUUGUCCGGAUUUAUUGGGCGUAAAGGGUUCGCAGGCGGCUGAGUAAGUCGGGUGUGAAAUCUCCAGGCUCAACCUGGAGCUGCCACUUGAUACUGCUCUGGCUAGAGUCCGGUAGGGGCACACGGAAUACCCGGUGUAGCGGUGAAAUGCUUAGAUAUCGAGUGGAACACCAGUGGCGAAGGCGGUGCGCUGGGCCGGAACUGACGCUCAUGAACGAAAGCGUGGGUAGCAAACAGGA